rnacentral:sRNA from 1 species
UUGCGCCUGCGGCGGGCAAAGCACGGGAUAUAAUGAUACUUUGCAGGCAGUUUUUUCGUGUACGGUCUUGUCAAUUCCGUAAUUUUACGGAAUUUAACGUCUUCU